CCCUUAGAUGUCCUGGGCCGCACGCGUGCUACACUGAUACGUGCAACAAGUUUUUCUCCUGGCUCGGAAGAGUUCGGGUAAUCUUGAUAAUGCGUAUCGUGCUAGGGAUAGAUCUUUGAAAUUAUGGAUCUUGAACGAGGAAUUCCUAGUAAGCAUAAGUCAUCAGCUUGUGCUGAUUACGUCCCUGCCCUUUGUACACACCGCCCGUCGCUACUACCGAUUGAAUGGCUUAGUGAGCCUUUGGGAUUGGCAGCUUGUACCGGCAACGGUAGCAGGCAGCCGAAAACUUAGGCAAACUUGGUCAUUUAGAGGAAGUAAAAGUCGUAACA
rnacentral:rRNA from 1 species